UGUCUUGUCAUGCUGUAUGUUUGCAGUGAAACCCCGGGCAGUGCUGCUGUGCUGCUCCUGUCUCUCCAGCACAGGCACGUGAAGAUGGCUGGAGUUUUUAUUGUGUUCACGGCAUUGCUGCUGUGUCUCCCAGAUUUCUCGGACGGUAUCAAGAUUGUCCAGUCCCCUCCUUCACUGUUCGAGAGUCCUGGACACUCUGCUGGACUCCAGUGCUAUCACGGUGAUACCAACUAUAACCGCAUGUACUGGUACCAGCAAACAAGGAAAGGAGCUUUGGAUCUGAUUGGGUAUGAGUAUGUCACAAUAAGCCAUGAAGACAAGUUUAAAGAAAGAUUCCAAAUGUCUGGGAAAGCAACAGAGAAGGGCUUUUUAACCAUUUCCAAUAUAACAGCUGAAGACAGUGCUGUGUACUUCUGUGCAGCCAGCAAACACAGUGCUGCAGAUCACCUCUCUCCUCUACAAUAACCCUGCCUAGCCACAGCCUCCCCUGCGCUUACAUGAGAACACGUCAUCUCACCACCUGCUUCAACUCA